UACGUAGGUGGCAAGCGUUGUUCGGAAUUAUUGGGCGUAAAGAGCUCGUAGGCGGCUUGUCGCGUCUGCUGUGAAAACCCGAGGCUCAACCUCGGGCCUGCAGUGGGUACGGGCAAGCUAGAGUGCGGGUAGGGGAGAUUGGAAUUCCUGGUGUAGCGGUGGAAUGCGCAGAUAUCAGGAGGAACACCGAUGGCGAAGGCAGAUCUCUGGGCCGUAACUGACGCUGAGACGCGAAAGCGUGGGGAGCAAACAGG
rnacentral:rRNA from 1 species